rnacentral:lncRNA from 1 species
GCAAGGGCGGCGCAUGCGCACCGCGGAGGGGCGGGCCGGCGACGGCAACCGCGGAGGGAACGGGUCCCGGCUUCGGGGUCUGGGGCGCACAGAGACGGAGCGUCGCCGGCUGCUGCCUGGCAGGACCCGAGGGAGUUACUUAAUUUUCAAUAAUUGGAAAGCUAUGCCAAGAGGGAAUACCGCCAAGUUUUACACGCACUGCUUUGCCGUCAGUACCAGGAAUGGGACAAAUUGAAGGGAAUUUUAGGUAAGAGAUUGGCUACAUUCCAAGGCUAUUUCCCACUUGUUCUGAAACAUGGUACAGGUAAAAAAUGUGGGCUGACAGCCAGUCAUUUCUAUCGAAUUAGAAGUCAGUGUACAUAUCCUUUAUAUAAGGUUAAAAGAUCCUGGAACAGAAGGUUUUAUAAUAGUCCUACCACAUCAGUUUCACUACAGACAACAAAACAAUCACAAAACACUGAAUAAGGCCAAAGUCUUUUUUUGCUCAUCUUGUUGUGUCUUUAUUUUUUUUAUUUUUUGUCUUUUUUGCCUUUUCUAGGGCUGCUCCCGCAGCAUAUGGAGGUUCCCAGGCUAGGGGUCGAAUCGGAGCUGUAGCCGCCGGCCUACGCCAGAGCCACAGCCACGCGGGAUCCGAGCCGCGUCUGCAACCUACACCACAGCUCACGGCAACGCCGGAUCGUGAAUCCACUGAGCAAGGGCAGGGAUCGAAGCCACAACCUCAUGGUUCCUAGUCGGAUUCGUUAACCACUGCGCCACGACGGAACUCCUUUAUUUUUAAUUAUAGUUGAUUUACAAUGUCGUAUGCAAAUAAUUCUAAUGAAUAGGAGAGUCUCUGAAAUUAUCACCUGGUAUAACGGCAUAUUAAAAUAUUCGAUUUUUCCUCAGACUUGUCAUCGAUGGGCUAAAUGGAUAACAUUUGGGGAAGUCACAGGAAAAUCAUAAGCCUGGUAAUAUCGGCAUGACUUACCAAAAUCAAAUAGGCCUUGUUCUUUCAUGGUCAUGGGUGUUUAAACCCUUGGUGGGUGACCGGGUCUUAAUGCAGUGCUGUACCAACAAGAUGACCUACUUUUCAGGACAGUGAGGCUGCAUCGACACCAUGGCCGAGCUGCUCUUUGCCCCACUCUUGACGCACCGUCCAGAGUGGGCUCGCGAGGUCAGUCCUGUGCAGGGACUGGACAGGCGGGACCCAGGUGCUCCUGUACCCCAGCCGCCUCAGUGCCACAUGUCCGCAGCCC